rnacentral:rRNA from 1 species
ACUCCUACGGGAGGCAGCAGUGAGGAAUAUUGGUCAAUGGAGGCAACUCUGAACCAGCCAUGCCGCGUGCAGGAAGACUGCCCUAUGGGUUGUAAACUGCUUUUAUACAGGAAGAAACACUCCCUCGUGAGGGAAUUUGACGGUACCGUAAGAAUAAGGAUCGGCUAACUCCGUGCCAGCAGCCGCGGUAA